GACUAACAUUAUAAAUGUGAAUAGCACUACCCCAUAACCAACCAUCCCUACCCAAAAAAAAUUCAAAAAUUUUAAGGUUUUUCAGAUUCUCAGUUGCAUGUUCGUUUUCUCCACCUUGUUUACAACCAUCACUUUAAAUGAACUAGCUACCUUGUUUACAACCAUCACUUUAAAUAAACCAACAAUGUUAUCUAAAGAAAGGGUUCAACAAAUCUCAACUUUCUUCUUUGUUUAUGGUUGCAAAGUUGUUACUAGACAUCACUUUGAAAUCCCCAACUUAUGCAAGAAAACAAAUCUCUUUUGCCCCUCUUGCGAGAAUGAUCUGAAACUUGGUGUUUUAAAUAUAAUGAUUCUCGAUAUAACAUACAUAUACGUAUGUUCCAAAAGAAUUUAAAGCUUUGUGCUGAAUAAUGAACAAAGUCACAAGAACAAAUUCUUAUCCUUCUCAGCAUCAGAUUUAAAUUCUUUUGGAACAUACAGUAUAUGAGAGCUAUCAUUAACACCAAGUUUCAGAUCAUCCUUCCAUUGGCUUUAAAUUCUUUUGGUCUAUGAUGUAUGUAUGUCAUCAUGUAAAUCAUCUCGAAUCACUUCCAUGGAACUCUUCUCUCCCUCAACGCGAUGAACAUGACAACUCUUUUUCACUCUUCACUGGCUCCAAUGAACUAAAAGGAGGAAAGAAAGAAGUAUUGAAGCAAGCUCUUUUAUUCCGGAGUAAUAUCUGCCUUGAGAUAAUGUCGAGAUUUUGAAGCAAGCUCUUUUAAACAACAAAGUGAGUUACAACUUACAAGGUUGGAUUCAAUUGUGUUUCAAGUCACACCAACUAGAACCAGGUUAGAGCUGCAGAGCUAAGGAAAAUAUUGGUGAAACUUGGGCCGAUAGCAGUGGAUAGAUAACACAGUAACUUAUUUUCAGAUAGCAGUGGAUAACAUUUCUGACAACAACUUGAUUCCAAACAACACCUUCAAGUUAUUAAUGAAUUUCUAUCUUUAAUUUUUUUUGGUCUCGUUAUAGUUGUAUCUUAUUUCUAGCUUGUUGAAUAGCUGGGGGGGCAUGGAUCAUUGUUAUAGUUGUAUCUUAUUCCAAAUGUGAGAAUUUAUCAUGCUCAAACAAUGGAUCUCAAAUGGAAAUUUGUGAUAAACAAUGGCGUAGCAAUAUGUCAUCUUAACACUACUGCAUGGAGUUCACAUCAGGUUGCUUUUCAGAUGCUUGGUUUUGGACCAGGAAAAAUUGAAGUGUGCCACUGGUUUUACGGGAAUGAUCAUGCGUGGACUGUUGCUACAUGAAGGUGUUGUUUUGAAUCAAGUUAUUGUCAGAAAUGUUAUCCACUGCUAUCUGGAAAUAAGUUACUGUGUUAUCUAUCCACUGCUAUCUUGUGUUAUCUAUUAAUAUUAGUUCUUACUAUGUAUGUCUGUGUGUGAUAAGAUUUCAAGUAUCAAGUUAUGUAAUCUCAUCUUUAUAUAAUUAACAGUAUCUUGUUUAAUAUUAAUUUUUAUGAAUAUGUUUAGAUAUUUCCCAAUAAUAUAUUUAACUAUGAAAAAAUUAAUUUAUAUCAAUACCUAACCUUUGAUUUUAUCUUUUAAAUUUUAUAUUAAAAAACCAUUAUUCAUCAUUAAUGACAUUGUAAAACUAGGGUGGAGAUUCUCUCCCAUAUAAAGAAAAACCUGGCUAGCCAAUGUUAAUCCUAAUUCCUAACCAUUCAACCUAAUUUAACUAGUUUUAUCAUAAUUUAUAAAUAAAACUAAAUCAACCAUUAUGAUUCCAUUGGAGAAAAAAAACUCGAGAGGAUCCUUUAGUCAAAUGUUAUUAAUGAAUUUCUAUUCACUUCUUUAUAUAAUAUAUUUUUUAAAAUUUAAUUUAUAACUUUAUUUAUAUUAAAAUGUUUAUAAUCAUUUAUUCAUAUAUGAAU